AUUGAACGCUGGCGGCAGGCUUAACACAUGCAAGUCGAGCGAGCGGCGGACGGGUGAGCAAUGUCUGGGAAACUGCCUGAUGGAGGGGGAUAACUACUGGAAACGGUAGCCAAUACCGCAUACCAUCAGAUGUGCCCAGAUGGGAUUAGCUAGUAGGUGGGGUAAUGGCGCACCUAGGCGACGAUCCCUAGCUGGUCUGAGAGGAUGACCAGCCACACUGGAACUGAGACACGGUCCAGACGCCUACGGGAGGCAGCAGUGGGGAAUAUUGCACAAUGGGCGCAAGCCUGAUGCAGCCAUGCCGCGUGUGUGAAGAAGGCCUUCGGAUUGUAAAGCACUUUUAGCGGGGAGGCGUUACUAGCCGAAGAAGCCCCGGCUAACUCCGUGCCAGCAGCCGCGGUAAUAC
rnacentral:rRNA from 1 species